AGAGUUUGAUCCUGGCUCAGGACGAACGCUAGCGGCGUGCCUAAGCUAUGCAAGUCGAGCGGGGUCUCAGUGCUGAGUUUCCUUCGGGAGGCGAAGCGUUGUGACCUAGCGGCAAACGGGUGAGUAACACGUGAGCAACCUGCCCCGCUGACCGGGAUAACCACUCGAAAGGGCGGCUAAUACCGGAUAGGAGGCUCCAUUGCAUGAUGGAGCUUGGAAAGGGGAAACUCGCAGCGGGAGAGGCUCGCGGCCUAUCAGCUAGUUGGUGAGGUAACGGCUCACCAAGGCGACGACGGGUAGCCGACCUGAGAGGGUGACCGGCCACACUGGGACUGAGACACGGCCCAGACUCCUACGGGAGGCAGCAAGCGGGAAUAUUGCGCAAUGGGCGAAAGCCUGACGCAGCGACGCCGCGUGAGGGAUGAAGGCCCUCGGGUCGUAAACCUCUGUUGACGGGGACGAAGCUCUGACGGUACCCGUCGAGGAAGCUCCGGCUAACUCCGUGCCAGCAGCCGCGGUAACACGGAGGGGGCAAGCGUUGUCCGGAUUUACUGGGCGUGAAGCGCGCGUAGGCGGUCCAUUAAGUCGGCUGUGAAAGCGCUGGGCUCAACCCAGCAAGGUCAGUCGAUACUGGUGGACUCGAGUCCGGGAGAGGGAAGCGGAAUUGCUGGUGUAGCGGUGGAAUGCGUAGAUAUCAGCAAGAACACCGGUGGCGAAGGCGGCUUCCUGGACCGGCACUGACGCUGAGGCGCGAAAGCUAGGGGAGCGAACCGGAUUAGAUACCCGGGUAGUCCUAGCCGUAAACGAUGGUCACUAGGUGUUGGGGGUAUCGACCCCCCCGGUGCCGAAGCUAACGCAUUAAGUGACCCGCCUGGGGAGUAUGGCCGCAAGGCUGAAACUCAAAGGAAUUGACGGGCCUCCGCACAAGCGGUGGAGCAUGUGGCUCAAUUCGAGGCUACGCGAAGAACCUUACCAGGGCUUGACAUCUGCGGGACCCCUCCGAAAGGAGGGGGUGCCCUUCGGGGAACGCAAGACAGGUGGUGCAUGGCUGUCGUCAGCUCGUGUCGUGAGAUGUUGGG
rnacentral:rRNA from 1 species